GCGGUGGAGCACGUGGUUUAAUUCGAUGACAAACCGAAGAACCUUACCUGGGUUUGACAUGUACGUGGUACGGAUCUGAAAGGUGAAGGACCCGGUCUUCGGACUGGGAGCGUACACAGGUGCUGCAUGGCUGUCGUCAGCUCGUGUCGUGAGAUGUUGGGUUAAGUCCCGCAACGAGCGCAACCCUGCUGCCAGUUGCCAACGGGUGAAGCCGGGCACUCUGGCGGGACUGCCAUCGACAAGAUGGAGGAAGGUGGGGAUGACGUCAAGUCCUCAUGGCCUUUAUGACCAGGGCUACACACGUACUACAAUGGCCGAUACAAAGGGCAGCGACACUGCGAGGUGAAGCCAAUCCCGUAAAAUCGGUCUCAGUCCGGAUUGGAGUCUGCAACUCGACUCCAUGAAGUUGGAAUCGCUAGUAAUCGUGGAUCAGCAUGCCACGGUGAAUACGUUCCCGGGCCUU
rnacentral:rRNA from 1 species